rnacentral:rRNA from 1 species
GAUUUUGAUCCUGGCUCAGGACGAACGCUGGCGGCGUGCUUAACACAUGCAAGUCGAGCGGUAAGGCCUUUCGGGGUACACGAGCGGCGAACGGGUGAGUAACACGUGGGUGAUCUGCCCUGCACUUCGGGAUAAGCCUGGGAAACUGGGUCUAAUACCGGAUAUGACCUCCUAUCGCAUGGUGGGUGGUGGAAAGAUUUAUCGGUGCAGGAUGGGCCCGCGGCCUAUCAGCUUGUUGGUGGGGUAAUGGCCUACCAAGGCGACGACGGGUAGCCGACCUGAGAGGGUGACCGGCCACACUGGGACUGAGACACGGCCCAGACUCCUACGGGAGGCAGCAGUGGGGAAUAUUGCACAAUGGGCGAAAGCCUGAUGCAGCGACGCCGCGUGAGGGACGACGGCCUUCGGGUUGUAAACCUCUUUCAGCAGGGACGAAGCGCAAGUGACGGUACCUGCAGAAGAAGCACCGGCUAACUACGUGCCAGCAGCCGCGGUAAUACGUAGGGUGCAAGCGUUGUCCGGAAUUACUGGGCGUAAAGAGUUCGUAGGCGGUUUGUCACGUCGUUUGUGAAAACUCACAGCUCAACUGUGAGCCUGCAGGCGAUACGGGCAGACUUGAGUACUGCAGGGGAGACUGGAAUUCCUGUGUAGCGGUGAAAUGCGCAGAUAUCAGGAGACACCGUGCGAAGCGGUCUCUGGCAGUAACUGACGCUGAGGAACGAAAGCGUGGGUAGCGAACAGGAUUAGAUACCCUGGUAGUC